UUUUUUUUACAGAAUAAUAUUCCAGCACAUUUUUAAAAGCCUGUAAGAUAUGGCAUGUAUGGAGAGAAUUUUCUGGCCAUAAAACAACACAAUAUCUACAUGUAUAUAGGGAUAAAUUUUCAUCUAAAGCAGACAUACACGGUUCAAUAUACAACCUGCCUUUUUCAUAAUGAAUACAUUGAAGAACAGGCACCAUGACCCAAAGCUUGCUUCAAAAUAGGCUCCACCCGUGCCUUAACAUGAGAGGUUUUCAAAUCGUUUGACCAUGAUCUAAGGGGCUGAUAAAAUUUCUUAAGAG